AUGCUGCUGCCAUGCGCUGCUGACAGCCGUCAGCACCAUGCCCUGGCAGCUCCGGUCUUCAAGGCUGCAACGCGGUUCGCCGCGUGGAUCGAACCAGUCCGCUUCGCAUCGCCCGCCGCGGACGAGCGUCUUCACGACGCCGGUGC
rfam:Azoarcus aromaticum EbN1 complete genome